GAUGAACGCUAGCGGCAGGCCUAACACAUGCAAGUCGAGGGAGAAGCCCUUUCGGGGGCAGAAACCGGCGCACGGGUGCGUAACGCGUAUGCAACCUACCUUUCACAGGGGGAUAGCCCGAAGAAAUUUGGAUUAAUACCCCCUUAAUAUUAUUGGAUGGCAUCAUUUGAUAAUUAAAACUGCGGUGGUGAAAGAUGGGCAUGCGUCCUAUUAGCUAGUUGGAGUGGUAACGGCACCCCAAGGCUACGAUAGGCAGGGGUCCUGAGAGGGAGAUCCCCACACUGGUACUGAGACAGGGACCAGACUCCUACGGGAGGCAGCAGUGAGGAAUAUUGGUCAAUGGUCGGAAGACUGAACCAGCCAUGCCGCGUGCAGGAAGAAUGCCUUAUGGGUUGUAAACUGCUUUUAUAUGGGAAGAAUAAAGGUGUACGUGUACA
rnacentral:rRNA from 1 species